rnacentral:rRNA from 1 species
UGAAAGGCUAAACAAAUCCGGAAAUAGCUGGUUCUCCCCGAAAACUAUUUAGGUAGUGCGUCGUACGGACACUUGCGGGGGUAGAGCACUGUUUCGGCUAGCGGGUCAUACCGACUUAGCAAACCGAUGCAAACUCCGAAUACCUGUGAGUACUAUCCGGGAGACAGACGGUGGGUGCUAAUGUCCAUCGUCAAGAGGGAAACAACCCAGACCGCCAGCUAAGGCCCCAAAUUUCUAGUUAAGUGGGAAACGAUGUGGGAAGGCAUAGACAGCUAGGAGGUUGGCUUAGAAGCAGCCACCCUUUAAAGAAAGCGUAAUAGCUCACUAGUCGAGUCGGCCUGCGCGGAAGAUGUAACGGGGCUAAAACUAGAAGCCGAAGCUGCGGAUGUGCACUCAGUGCACGUGGUAGGGGAGCGUUCUGUAAGUCUGCGAAGGUGUGUUGAGAAGCAUGCUGGAGAUAUCAGAAGUGCGAAUGCUGACGUGAGUAACGAUAAGGGGUGUGAAAAACAUCCCCGCCGGAAGACC